rnacentral:rRNA from 1 species
GACGAACGCUGGCGGCGUGCUUUAUACAUGCAAGUCGAACGAUGAAGUUCCUUCGGGAAUGGAUUAGUGGCGAACGGGUGAGGAACACGUGAGAAACCUGCCUUUCAUUCUGGGAUAACACCGGGAAACCGGUGCUAAUACCGGAUACUCCGUCUUGGCGGCAUCGCCGAGCCGGGAAAAAAUUUUGAUGAAAGAUGGUCUCGCGGCCUAUCAGCUAGUUGGUGAGGUAAAGGCUCACCAAGGCGACGACGGGUAGCCGGCCUGAGAGGGCGACCGGCCACACUGGGACGGAGACACGGCCCAGACUCCUACGGGAGGCAGCAGUAGGGAAUAUUGGGCAAUGGGCGCAAGCCUGACCCAGCGACGCCGCGUGAGGGAUGAAGGUCUUCGGAUUGUAAACCUCUUUCAGUAGGGAAGAAGCGAAAGUGACGGUACCUAAAGAAGAAGCACCGGCUAACUAUGUGCCAGCCGCCGCCGUAA